rnacentral:tRNA from 1 species
GCGCUCGUAGCUCAGUGGAUAGAGCAUCAGCUUGCGGAGCUGAGGGUCGAAGGUUCGAGUCCUUUCGAGCGCGCCA